GGCCCUCGUAGCUUAACUUCAGAGCAGCUGCUUCGUUCGCAGCCGAUCCGGGUUCGACUCCCAGGCAGGGCCUCCA
rnacentral:tRNA from 1 species